rnacentral:rRNA from 1 species
CUACGGGUGGCACCAGUGGGGAAUAUUGGACAAUGGGGGAAACCCUGAUCCAGCAAUGCCGCGUGUGUGAAGAAGGCCUGCGGGUUGUAAAGCACUUUCGGUUGGGAGGACUGCUUCUAGCACUAAUAUUGUUGGAAGUUGACGUUACCUUCAGAAGAAGCACCGGCUAACUCCGUGCCAGCAGCCGCGGUAAUACGGAGGGUGCAAGCGUGAAUCGGAAUUACUGGGCGUAAGGCGCGCGUAGGCGGCUAGAUCAGUCGGGUGUGAAAGCCCCGGGCUUAACCUGGGAACUGCAUCCGAUACUGUCUAGCUUGAGUACAGGAGAGGAGAGUGGAAUUCCACAUGUAGCGGUGAAAUGCGUAGGUAUGUGGAGGAACACCAAUGGCGAAGGCAGCUCUCUGGCCUGAUACUGACGCUGAGGUGCGAAAGCGUGGGGAGCAAACAGGAUUAGAUACCCUCGUAGUC